rnacentral:rRNA from 1 species
UACAGAGGUCUCGAGCGUUAGGCGGAAUCUCUGGGCUUAAAGCGUGUGUAUGCGGAUCGUUAAGUGCCUUGUGAAAUCCCACGGCUCAACCGUGGAACUGCUUGGCAUACUGGCGGUCUUGAGCAACCUAGGGGCGAGCGGAACAAAUGGUGGAGCGGUGAAAUGCGUAGAUAUCAUUUGGAACGCCAAUGGUGAAAACAGCUCGCUGGGGGUUUGCUGACGCUGAGACACGAAAGCCAGGGGAGCAAACGGG